rnacentral:rRNA from 1 species
UCUUCGGAGGACAAAGUGACAGGUGGUGCAUGGUUGUCGUCAGCUCGUGUCGUGAGAUGUUGGGUUAAGUCCCGCAACGAGCGCAACCCUUGAACUUAGUUGCCAUCAUUCAGUUGGGCACUCUAAGUUGACUGCCGGUGACAAACCGGAGGAAGGUGGGGAUGACGUCAAAUCAUCAUGCCCCUUAUGAUUUGGGCUACACACGUGCUACAAUGGACAAUACAAAGGGCAGCGAAACCGCGAGGUCAAGCAAAUCCCAUAAAGUUGUUCUCAGUUCGGAUUGUAGUCUGCAACUCGACUACAUGAAGCUGGAAUCGCUAGUAAUCGUAGAUCAGCAUGCUACGGUGAAUACGUUCCCGGGUCUUGUACACACCGCCCGUCACACCACGAGAGUUUGUAACACCCGAAGCCGGUGGAGUAACCAUUUUGGAGCUAGCCGUCGAAGGUGGGACAAAUGAUUGGGGUGAAGUCGUAACAAGGUAGCCGUAUCGGAAGGUGCGGCUGGAUCACCUCCUUU